UACGUAGGUGGCGAGCGUUGUCCGGAUUUACUGGGCGUAAAGAGCGCGCAGGCGGUCGUACAAGUCGCGUGUGAAAGCCCCCGGCUCAACUGGGGAGGGUCACGCGAUACUGUUCGACUCGAAGGCAGGAGAGGGAAGUGGAAUUCCCGGUGUAGUGGUGAAAUGCGUAGAUAUCUGGAGGAAUACCGGUGGCGAAGGCGGCAUCCUGGACCGGCAUUGACGCUGAGGAGCGAAAGCCAGGGGAGCAAACGGG
rnacentral:rRNA from 1 species